rnacentral:rRNA from 1 species
CUCCCUACGGGGCGCAGCAGUGGGGGAUAUUGCACAAUGGGGGGAACCCUGAUGCAGCGACGCCGCGUGGGUGAAGGAGCGUUUCGGCGCGUAAAGCCCUAUCGGCAGGGAAGAAGGAGGACGGUACCUGACUAAGAAGCCCCGGCUAACUACGUGCCAGCAGCCGCGGUAAUACGGAGGGGGCAAGCGUUAUCCGGAUUUACUGGGUGUAAAGGGGGCGCAGACGGCAGCGCAAGCCAGGAGUGAAAGCCCGGGGCCCAACCCCGGGCCUGCUCUUGGAACUGCCGGGCUGGAGUGCAGGGGGG